UACGUAGGGCGCAGCGUUGUCCGGAUUUAUUGGGCGUAAAGAGCUCGUAGGCGGCUUGUCGCGUCGACUGUGAAAUCCCGCGGCUCAACUGCGGGUCUGCAGUCGAUACGGGCAGGCUAGAGUUCGGUAGGGGGAGACUGGAAUUCCUGGUGUAGCGGUGAAAUGCGCAGAUAUCAGGAGGAACACCGGUGGCGAAGGCGGUUCUCUGGGCAUGUCCUGACGUGAGGAGCGAAAGUGUGGGGAGCGAACAGG
rnacentral:rRNA from 1 species